rnacentral:rRNA from 1 species
AGCGAACGCUGGCGGCAGGCCUAACACAUGCAAGUCGAACGAAGUCUUCGGACUUAGUGGCGGACGGGUGAGUAACACGUGGGAACGUACCUUUUGGUUCGGAACAACUCAGGGAAACUUGAGCUAAUACCGGAUGAGCCCUUAGGGGGAAAGAUUUAUCGCCGAAAGAGCGGCCCGCGUUAGAUUAGCUAGUUGGUGAGGUAAAGGCUCACCAAGGCUACGAUCUAUAGCUGGUCUGAGAGGAUGAUCAGCCACACUGGGACUGAGACACGGCCCAGACUCCUACGGGAGGCAGCAGUGUGGAAUCUUGCGCAAUGGGAGAAAGCCUGACGCAGCCAUGCCGCGUGAAUGAUGAAGGUCUUAGGAUUGUAAAAUUCUUUUACCAGGGACGAUAAUGACGGUACCUGGAGAAAAAGCCCCGGCUAACUUCGUGCCAGCCGCCGCAGUAAUAC